GACGAACGCUGGCGGCGUGCUUAACACAUGCAAGUCGAACGAAAAGGCCCUGCUUUUGUGGGGUUCUCGAGUGGCGAACGGGUGAGUAACACGUGAGUAACCUGCCCUUGACUUUGGGGUAACUUCAGGAAACUGGGGCUAAUACCGGAUAUGAGCUCCUGCUGCAUGGUGGUGGUUGGAAAGUUUCGGCGGUUGGGGCUGUACUCGCGGCUUAUCCGCUUGUUGGUGGGGUAGUGGCUUACCAAGGGUUUGACGGCUAGCCGGCAUGAGAGAGUGACCGGGCACAUUGGGACUGAGAUACGGCGCAGACUGCUACGGGAGGCAGCAGUGGGGAAUAUUGCAGAAUGGGCGGAAGCCUGAGGCAGCAACGCCGCGUGCGGGAUGACGGGCUUCGGGUGGUAAACCGCUUUCGCCUGUGACGAAGCGUGAGUGACGGUAAUGGGUAAAGAAGCAACGGCUAACUACGUG
rnacentral:rRNA from 1 species